GUGGACCAAGCCAGGCUUGCAGGAGAUACAGGAGACCAGGCUUGGUGACAGGAACCCAUGGAGAACCAAAACAGUGACGGAGAAGAGCAGAUGACCUGAAAACAAGAUUCCUAAAUACACUGAGACACGUUCAGAGGAGGGACAGUGGUUAUGUUGGAGCUCCCAGGAAGAGGUUCAUGAAUGUUGAGAAGGAGGACAUGAUGGUGAUAGAUGUGAGUGAGGAGAAUGGAGAAGAUGGUGAUAGAUGGAAGCGGAGGAUUCACUGUGUUGACCCUUAAAGGGAGCAGCUGAAAGGAAAGAAGGAAAAAAAUGAAAGAAAAAAACA